GUUAAAUUAAAGCUAGGUUAGCUAGUCAAAUUAAAGCUAGGUUAGUUAGUUAAAUUAAAGCUAGGUUAGCAAGUAAAAUUAAAGCGAGGUUAGCUAGUCAAAUUAAAGCUAGGUUAGCUAGUCAAAUUAAAGCUAGGUUAGCUAGUUACAUUAAAGCUAGGUUAGCUAGUUAACUUAAAGCUAGGUUAGUUAGGUAAAUUAAAGCUAGGUUAGCUAGUCAAAUUAAAGCUAGGUUAGCUAGUUACAUUAAAGCUAG